GUGCUUGCUUCAGCAGCAUGUAUACAAAAUCUGGAACCACAUAGAGAAGAUUAGCAAGGCCUUGUGCAAGGAUGACACACAAAUUCGUGAAGCAUUCUAUGUUUUU